UCGUGUCGUGAGAUGUUGGGUUAAGUCCCGCAACGAGCGCAACCCCCACCUCUUGUUGCCAACAGGUCAUGCUGGGCACUCUAGAGGAACUGCCCCGGUCAACGGGGAGGAAGGCGGGGAUGACGUCAAGUCAUCAUGCCCCUUACGUCCUGGGCUACACACGUGCUACAAUGGCCGGUACAAAGGGAUGCCACACCGCGAGGUAGAGCUAAACCCAAAAAGCCGGUCUAAGUUCAGAUUGGAGUCUGCAACUCGACUCUAUGAAGGAGGAAUCGCUAGUAAUCGC
rnacentral:rRNA from 1 species